GUUGAAAACGGACUGGACGAUACUGAUAAUGAUAAUGGCUUUAUGCAAUAUUGCAGUGCAGCAGUUCCCUCAAGGCUUGCUGAGACAGGAGUUUGCAUUCCUACCACAUUGGAAAAGUAUCAACAUCUUAUUUUGAAAAUAAACUAGAAGAUACUGAUAAUAAUAGUAAUGGUGUUUUGCAAGAUAGCAGUACAGCAGUUCACCCAAGGCUUGCUGGGACAGGAAUUUGCAUUCAUAGCACUUU